UACGGAAGGCAGCAGUGGGGAAUAUUGCACAAUGGGCGCAAGCCUGAUGCAGCCAUGCCGCGUGUAUGAAGAAGGCCUUCGGGUUGUAAAGUACUUUCAGCGGGGAGGAAGGCGAUGCGGUUAAUAACCGCGUCGAUUGACGUUACCCGCAGAAGAAGCACCGGCUAACUCCGUGCCAGCAGCCGCGGUAAUACGGAGGGUGCAAGCGUUAAUCGGAAUUACUGGGCGUAAAGCGCACGCAGGCGGUCUGUUAAGUCAGAUGUGAAAUCCCCCGGGCUUAACCUGGGAACUGCAUUUUGAACUGGCAGGCUUGAGUCUUGUAGAGGGGGUGAAUUCCAGGUGUAGCGGUGAAUGCGUAGAGAUCUGGAGGAAUCCGGUGGCGAAGGCGGCCCCUGGACAAGACUGACGCUCAGGUGCGAAAGCGUGGGGAGCAAACGAGGAUUAGGAU
rnacentral:rRNA from 1 species